AGCUCACCCUGAUAACUCGACCACCAGUUUCAAAGCGAGGAUAGAUACUUUUGCCUCGGCCGCUCGCGGACCAUGCCACAUACACCGUCGCCAUCUCGACCCUCCAAAUCUGGGUCAUCGGCUGGAAUAGUCGUGCAUUUUCUAUUCGGCCGAGGCAAUGGAUAGUUAUUGCAAUGGUACCUUGGGGGCGAAGUGAUUGAACUCAUCUCACCCUCUGGCUCGUCGAGAGUUCUCGCGCAGGUGAUGGGCGUUGGGAUGCAGAUCUUCUACUUCUAAGGUGCUCCCCAUAGGAACCAGAUUUGGAUUGGGACGGUAGUGGGGCUGUAUCAGCGUUUCCUGGGUACACUGGGAUUGUUGGGGUAAGAAGUUGCUGCUAUUUUUUUGCUUGAAGGGGGAACCGGUGUAUCAUAGUUCAGUUGAGAAGGUUAUAGUCUGUGGUUAGACACCCAGACAAUUGAGCUUUGCAAUUUCUCAAUUACUUAUUCUAUCAUUUUAGCAUAUAUAGCUCGGGUUAAAAAUAAUACUUCCUCCAUCCAUAAAAGAAUAUCUUAGAUUUGUCUAAAUUUAGAUGUAUGUAGACACUAUUUAAGACAUUCUUUUAUGGACGGAGGAAGUAUGGCUUAAUCGGAUUCAUAUAACUGAAAAAAUACUGUACUUUAAUGGAAAAGAGUUCAGAUAAUAUCAAGAAUUGAUCUUGACUGCUGAUAUGAUCGUACGAUGUGUAUCUUUAGAGCUACUUUAAGUUUGUUGGCUUAACAUCUAUCGUGAAGCAUGGUUCAGAUUGGUGGUUUCCUCCUGAAAGGUGCUACAUGUUUGUUUGGGGUAUGGAGCAAACUUUAUCAUGCAAGCUGAGUUCAGAUGCUAACGUGGGCACGAAUGAUCUGAAUGAAACUCUGAAACCCCCAAUUUGAAAUUCAAAAAGGGGUGCCAGGAGGUGGGACAACUUCUUUGGGGUUCUUGGUCAUACGCUAUAUAUUGAGCAUCUUUGGGCUAGAAUGCUCAUGUUAGUCUCUUGGAGGAUGAAAAUCUCCCCGACUUAUUUGUAGAUUCAUCUUUGUUCUCUAUUAUGAUUCCUUUGUAGAGGUGACCUGCUGCCGAUGAUGAUCGUUGGCAGUUGUAACCAAAAUUGAUUGUGGCCCCUUGUGUGUAUGAGGUGUUGGUCAAGUAGAAAUUAGUGGUCGUAGAAGCAGGUUCAGGUAUUUUACUACCCUGAAAUGAGGUGUACUGCACCAGGCCUACGACCUGUACGACCAUGACCUGUAUUUAUUUAUCCAUUUUAUGUCGUAUUAGCAUAUGCAGACAUAGUUUGUGUUUAUAACAUUCACACACAGGCAUAGCUGUGUAGUUCUACUAAAUGCAGUUAAUGGCUUUAAUAACCGUAGCCCAUAGAUAUUGUUGAAUAUUUUAGUGAGCUAAUGUCCAACUGAGCAAAGGGUGUGGUUGGAUGCUCUGAUAUUGUGGACGUUGGUUUCACCUUCAAAUCAGAUUGUAAGUUGUACCUCUCUACAUUAAUGUGUUACGGUUCUUGUUAGUCUGCAUGUAUAAGCUAGCAGAUAGCUCUGUCAUGCUUAAAAUGUUCAGAUGUCUGACUCUUACAUGUUACCAACGUUGAGCAAAUACUAAAGUUGCAUAUAGAGGAUAUAUACUUAAAUAGUGUACAAUACUUUGUCAUCCAUCCAACCAAUGAAAUAAUUCCUCUGACAUUUUCCAACAGAGCCCGGGGAUUAGAAUCAAAUACUCGAACUUUCCUCUAUCAUGGAUAGUUCCUCCAGCAGCUUCUAAUAAUGUUUCGUUCGGAUUGCACAAAACGAUUGAGACGAUAUAAGUGUGCCUUCUAAUGGUUUGCAGCCAUCUAUUUCAAAGAACAUGACAUUACUAUGUCCUUUGCAUUAAAAAAAUAUAGUUUGUCUGCCAUCGUAAGAAUGUGUUAUUAAAAACAGUUUUACUUGAACUAUGAUACAGGUGCUAAUGAUUUUUCCCUGAAUUGGAAAAAAAUUCAAAAUGGCAAAAACAUUUGAGAUUGUCUGCACUCUGCCUACCUCUUUCCCAAGAUUAAAUUUAUAAAUUUACACUGUAUCUACAAAUUAUUCACUUAUUUUUCUGCCUACUUUGAGUUUUCCGCUUUUAUUAAUGCCUUCUCUAUCUACUGCAAUUUUCCAAUCUUCAGGCUUACUUCGUAUCGGAUGUAAUUAUAGCUGAUAACAAACACUUCAGUUAUAGUUUGAUGCGUCGGAAAUGGUCAUGUGAUACCAAACAAAUUAUGAUAGGGUAAUAACAACACUUUAUGAUUUUCGGCAAAAAAAAAAAAGAGGCGUUUCAGUAAAAAAUGUCUGCACAAACUUAUUUUUGAAUCGUACUGCAGCUGAAAGUUGCAAAUUUAGGUUAGAGCAACUGUGUUUUCUUGAAAAUGGGAGAACUAUCACCAUUUUAUGUGUCAGAUUUUAGCCAAUAUUGUCGUGGGACAUCAUUUUGAAGGCAGAAAGGUAUGCGCAGCCCCUGGGGAACGACAGAGGUGGCAUGUUUGACUACAGAGCUGACGGCUAGGUGAGGUUGCAUCUGUAACUCUGGACUUCCAGAGAAGCAACUUCGAGAAGCCCACUCCGAUGAAUGUCACCACCUGCGCUAUCUUCUUCUGCCCCAUCUCCUUCGCAUGUGGCAUGUAGCAUAUGUUCUUCCUAUUGGGAUCCACAAAUGGCAAGUUACUCAUACGGUUUGGAUAUGGACUGAGGCACUGCUCGCAUACUACUUCUCGACAGCUUGUAUGCUGAUGAAACCCGGUCAACGUUCUUUACCCAUCAACAAGUUGAGUUUUGAUCAAGGCUGUGUACAUCGUUUCAAUGCAGAGGCCGGGGCAAAGCUCACAUUUCAGAAAAAAAUGUUGAGUUUUGAUGCCGCACCAUGUGAUGAUUCGUUCACAUGUGGCACAUUGUUCAGAUUAGGAGCAGAUUUGGGAAGAAUGAGAUGAGGAACACUGCUUGAAAAUGUCUGCAUUUUGAGUUUACAAAGACUAGGAAUUAGGAGUGUAGAGUGUGUGACAUUGUUCAACCAUUGAUGCUUUCCCUUUAUGAGUUGUCCCUGUUCGCUUUUUCCUAUUCUAAACUUCAGGAAAGCUAACAUAACGCUUUGAGUUUCGAAACAUGAUUAUGUUUGUAACAUUCAUACACAAGCAUAGCUCUGUAGUUGUACUAAAUUCAGUUAAUGGCUUUAAUAACUGUAGCCGAUAGAUAUUGUUGAUUAUUUUAGUGAGCUGAUGUCCAACUAAGCAAAGGGGGUGCUUGGAUGCUCUGAUACUGUUGACGUUGGUUUCACCUUCAAAUCAGAUUGUAAGUUGUACCUCUACAUUAAUGUGUUACCAGGGCCCUGUGUGUUACGAUUCUUGUUAGUCUGCAUAUAUAAGCUAGCAGUCUGGUUCUUACA